rnacentral:rRNA from 1 species
AAACCGGAUUAGAUACCCGGGUAGUCCAGCUGUAAACUAUGCAAACUCAGUGAUGCAUUGGCUUGUGGCCAAUGCAGUGCUGCAGGGAAGCCGUUAAGUUUGCCGCCUGGGAAGUACGUACGCAAGUAUGAAACUUAAAGGAAUUGGCGGGGGAGCACCACAAGGGGUGAAGCCUGCGGUUCAAUUGGAGUCAACGCCUGAAACCUUACCCGGAGAGACAGCAGAAUGAAGGUCAAGCUGAAGACUUUACCAGACAAGCUGAGAGGUGGUGCAUGGCCGUCGCCAGCUCGUGCCGUGAGAUGUCCUGUUAAGUCAGGUAACGAGCGAGAUCCCUGCCUCUAGUUGCCACUAUUACACCCUGGUGUAGUAGGGCGAAUUAGGGGGACCGCCGCAGUUAAUGCGGAGGAAGGAAGGGGCCACGGCAGGUCAGUAUGCCCCGAAACUCUGGGGCCACACGCGGGCUGCAAUGGUAGCGACAAUGAGUCCCAAAAUCGAAAGAUAGAGGUAAUCCCUAAACGCUACCACAGUUGUGAUUGAGGGCUGCAACUCGCCCUCAUGAACAUGGAAUCCCUAGUAACCGCGUGUCAUUAUCGCGCAGUGAAUACGUCCCUGCUCCUUGCACACACCGCCCGA